rnacentral:lncRNA from 1 species
AAUAAAUAACUUUUGGGAUUUCGGCUUUUAUGGCAAUCGGCUAUAGAGGUUUAGAAAAGAAUGGGAAUGAAAGAGGAGAUGAGUAGAAUUAUAAUAGCCCAAAAUUGGGUCUAGUUGGAACAGAGGUUUUGGGACCACAAAAUCCGAGAUAGAAAUAAUUAUUUUAUGAUUAUUUUGAGGUCUAUGAUAUGAUUGCAUGAUUGUGUGAAAAUUUCGUGAAGAAAUUCUAUGCAUAAAGUGCUCAAUUUGAAGUUAGGGACUAAAUUGAAUAAGUUGCAAAACUUGCAUUCUAGAAG